ensembl:lncRNA
GUUUUGGUCAAAUAUCCCUUAAACAGAUGGAGGUGUGUUUUGGUCAAAUAUCCCUUAAACAGAUGGAGGUGUGUUUUGGUCAAAUAUCCCUUAAACAGAUGGAGGUGUGUUUUGGUCAAAUAUCCCUUACACAGAUGGAGGUGUGUUUUGGUCAAAUAUCCCUUAAACAGAUGGGGGUGUGUUUGGUCAAAUAUCCUUUAAACAGAUGGAGGUGUGUUUUGGUCAAAUAUCCCUUACACAGAUGGAGGUGUGUUUUGGUCAAAUAUCCCUUACACAGAUGGAGGUGUGUUUUGGUCAAAUAUCCCUUACACAGAUGGAGGUGUGUUUUGGUCAAAUAUCCCUUAAACAGAUGGAGGUGUGUUUGGUCAAAUAUCCCUUAAACAGAUGGAGGUGUGUUUUGGUCAAAUAUCCCUUAAACAGAUUGAGGUGUGUUUGGUCAAAUAUCCCUUACACAGAUGGAGGUGUGUUUUGGUCAAAUAUCCCUUACACAGAUGGAGGUGUGUUUUGGUCAAAUAUCCCUUACACAGAUGGAGGUGUGUUUUGGUCAAAUAUCCCUUCCACAGACAGAGGUGUGUUUUGCAGAGAUCAUCACAUGCAGACAUCAUAGGUUCACCUGCGCCGCGUUUCACAAAGAUGUGGCUGUUGUAACCAAAAAUCUUCAAUUUAGACUCAUCAGACCGAACAGAUUUUACUGGCAGUCUACUGGCAACUUCUUGUGCUUAUAGGCCCAAGCAAGUUGCUUCUUAUUAGUUGUGUCCUUCAGUAGUGGUUUCUUUGCAGCAAUUCGUCCAUAAAGUUGUUGAGAUGUGUCAGUUACUUGAAGUCUGUUAAGCAUUUAUAUGGGCUGCAAUCUGAGGUGCAUUUAAUUGCCGAUUUCUGAGGCUGGUGACUCUAAUGAACUCAUCCUCUGCAGCAGAUGUAACUCUGGGUUUCCUUGCCUGUGGCAGUCCUCAUGAGAGACAGUUUCAUCAUAGCGCUUGUUGGUUUUUGCAACUGAAGAUUCUUGAAAUUUCUAGGAUUGACCGACCUACAUGUCUUAAAUAAUGAUGGGCUGUUGUUUCUCUUAGUUUAUUUGAGCUGUUCUUGAUAUAAUAUGGAUUACUACAGUACAGACAGAAUGGUGGUCUGUGUACCAACCCAACCUUGUCACAACACAAAUUAUUGGGUCAAAAACAUUAAGGAAAUAAAUUCCACAAAUGAACUUUUAACGAGCCACACCUGUAAUUUGAAAUGCAUUCCAGAUGACUACCUCAUGAAGUUGGUUGACAGAAUGCAAAGAGUGCAAAGCUGUCAUCAAGGCAAAGGGUGGCUACUUUAAAGAAUCUACAUGAAAUGUGUUUUGAUCUGUUAAACACUUUUUUUGGAACACAACCAAUGUGUAUGUUUAUAUGUAUACCUAUAUGUGUAUAUAUAUAUACAUAUAUGUGCAUAAGUGUGUGUGUAUGACUCUUGGCAUGCCCAAUCAACUCAAAUAUGGCCGAAGGUUCCACUUGAAAUCAUUCAAUUUGUUUUGCGCAGUUUGUUUCUGGGUGUAUUUCAUUCCAAUACCCACAAUCCACUGUGCCACGCUCCAAGAGGGUGCCUUUCAGUAAUCUACCUUUGCCUCUUCUUAAGGUCUCCUUUCCCUCAUUCACACUGAUCUGAGUGAACAGGGCAGGUGAAAAGCUAGGCCUGCAUCACACUACUUUAACCAAUCAAAUUUUGUCCGAUAAGUGCAAAUGAAAGAGUGGAGACAAAGGGCUCAAUUCAGACUUGGGAUAAAUUUACUUAAUAUGAACUUAGUCUAUUAAAAUGGGGAUUUAAGUGAAACAAUAUGUGUUCUUUAUCUCAAGUCCAUUUACCUGAAGUCUGAAUAGGACCCACUGGAAGACUGCAGAUGAAUGAAGCACCCCUGAUAUGACUUCCUCUACCUUAGGACCACACAGACUACCUUAGGACCACACAACGACUUCAAAGCCAUGACAAGGGGUUAAUCGAUUAUCUGUGAUUUCAUUUUUUAUUUUUUUGUCUUGAUACUUUCUAGAUUCAAAAUAAUAAAAUGUAUAAAUGGAG